CGUUCCCGGGUCUUGUACACACCGCCCGUCACACCAUGGGAGCGGGUUUUACCAGAAGUAGGUAGCCUAACCGCAAGAGGGCGCUUACCACGGUAGGAUUCGUGACUGGGGUG
rnacentral:rRNA from 1 species